rnacentral:rRNA from 1 species
AACAGGAUUAGAUACCCUGGUAGUCCACGCCGUAAACGAUGUCGACUUGGAGGUUGUGCCCUUGAGGCGUGGCUUCCGGAGCUAACGCGUUAAGUCGACCGCCUGGGGAGUACGGCCGCAAGGUUAAAACUCAAAUGAAUUGACGGGGGCCCGCACAAGCGGUGGAGCAUGUGGUUUAAUUCGAUGCAACGCGAAGAACCUUACCUACUCUUGACAUCCAGAGAACUUUCCAGAGAUGGAUUGGUGCCUUCGGGAACUCUGAGACAGGUGCUGCAUGGCUGUCGUCAGCUCGUGUUGUGAAAUGUUGGGUUAAGUCCCGCAACGAGCGCAACCCUUAUCCUUUGUUGCCAGCGAUUCGGUCGGGAACUCAAAGGAGACUGCCAGUGAUAAACUGGAGGAAGGUGGGGAUGACGUCAAGUCAUCAUGGCCCUUACGAGUAGGGCUACACACGUGCUACAAUGGCAUAUACAAAGAGAAGCGACCUCGCGAGAGCAAGCGGACCUCAUAAAGUAUGUCGUAGUCCGGAUUGGAGUCUGCAACACGACUCCAUGAAGUCGGAAUCGCUAGUAAUCGUGGAUCAGAAUGCCACGGUGAAUACGUUCCCGGGCCUUGUACACACCGCCCGUCACACCAUGGGAGUGGGUUGCAAAAGAAGUAGGUAGCUUAACCUUCGGGAGGGCGCUUACCACUUUGUGAUUCAUGACUGGGGUGAAGUCGUAACAAGGUAACC